rnacentral:sRNA from 1 species
GUUUCAAUUCCUCAUAGGCAGGCUAUCGGCGCGGCCCGAAGGUUGACGAUGAGCUUUUUGAUUUGG